rnacentral:pre_miRNA from 1 species
CAUGUACUCCCUCCGUCCCAAAUUACUUGUCGCAGAAAUGGAUGUAUUUACAACUAAAAUACAUCUAGAUACAUCCAUACUUGCGACAAGUAAUUUGGGACGGAGGGAGUAGUAU